rnacentral:rRNA from 1 species
AGAGGUUGGAUUCUGGCUCAGAUUGAACGCUGGCGGAUGCUUUACAUGCAAGUCGAACGGCAGCACGGACUUCGGUCUGGUGGCGAGUGGCGAACGGGUGAGUAAUGUAUCGGAACGUGCCUAGUAGCGGGGAUAAUACGCAGCGUAGCCAUUACCGCAUAUACCCUUCGGGGGAGCGGGGACCUUUUCGGGCCUCGCACUAUUAGAGCGGCCGAUAUCGGAUUAGCUAGUUGGUGGGGUAACGGCUCACCAAGGCGACGAUCCGCUGGUUUGAGAGGACGACCAGCCACACUGGGACUGAGACACGGCCCAGACUCCUACGGGAGGCAGCAGUGGGAAUUUUGGACAAUGGGGAACCCUGAUCCAGCCAUCCUCUGGCGUGUGCGAUGAAGGCCUUCGGGUUGUAAAGCACUUUUUGGCAGGAAAGAAACGGCACGGAUAAUACCCCGCAAUCGGACGGUACCUGCAGGAAUAAGCACCGGCUUAACCACGCCAGCAGCCGCGGUACGUGUGUAGGGUGCAAGCGUUAAUCGGAAUUACUGGGCGAAGCGUGCGCAGGCGGUUCGGAAAGAAAGAGGAAACCCAGAGCUUAACUGGGAACUGCAUUUCUUUUAAUCACCGGGAGCCAGAGUGAAGUCAGAGGAGUGUGGAAUUCGCGUGUAGCAGUGAAAUGCGCAGAUAUGCGGAGGAACACCGAUGGCGGAAGGCAGCUCUCCCGGGAUAACACUGACGCUCGCGCACGAAAGCGUGGGGACAAACAGGAUUAGAUACCCUGGUAGUCCACGCCCUAAACGAUGUCAACUAGCUGUUGGGGCCUUCGGGCCUUGUAGCGCAGCUAACGCGUGAAGUUGACCGCCUGGGGAGUACGGUCGCAAGAUUAAAACUCAAAGGACUUGACGGGAAUCGCACAAGCGGUGGAUGAUGUGGAUUAAUUGAUGCAACGAAAACCUUACUCUACCCUUGACAUGUCUGGAAUCCCGAAGAGAUUUGGGAGUGCUCGUGGCGAGAACCGAACACAGGUGCUGCAUGGCUGUCGUCAGCUCGUGUCGCGAGUAUGGGGUUAAGUCCCGCAACGAGCGCAACCCUUGUCAUUAGUUGCUACGAAAGGGCACUCUAAUGAGACUGCCGGUGACAAAUCCGAGGAAGGGGAUGACGGCUGCGUCUUCAUGGCCCUUAUGGGUAGCUUCAGACACGUCAAGGCAAUACCGUAUAGGAGGUCGCCAACCCGCGAGGGGGAGCCAAUCCAGAAACUCGAUCGUAGUCCGGAUCGCAGUCUGCAACUCGACUGCGUGAAGUCGGAAUCGCUAGUAAUCGCGGAUCAGCAUGUCGCGGUGAACAUGUUCCUCGGGUCUUGGCAUGAUGACCGCCCGUCACACCAUGGGAGUGGGUUUUACCAGAAGUAGUUAGCCUAACCGUAAGGAGGGCGAUUACCACGUAGGAUUCAUGACUGGGGUGAAGUCGUAACAAGGUAGCCCC